UGGGAAGAAAAAAAGAUCUUACCAGAUCAGUGAAAUGUAAUGGUUUCUCAGGACUGGUUUUGUUCUUGUUCUUGUUGUACUUCUUAAAGAACGUGCAAGUAAGUUCCCGGAAAGCUAUACAUGGACAACAGCAAUCGGUUUCAGGUAGACAAGAACAACAGGUUUUAUCGGUUUCAGGUAGACAAGAGCAACCGGUUUUAGGUGGACAAGAGUAACCGGUUAUAUUAUAUUUGGAGACAAUACCAUAUAAAACUUGAAGAAUAAAGAACGGCAGCUGAUUCUCGAGUAAUAUCAGGUCCCGUUGCACAGCAGAUCUCA
rnacentral:lncRNA from 1 species